UGUAAAGAUUAUAGUUUGGAAGACAAGAAAAAAACAUUUUGUGAAUAAAUAAUUAAUCGCAUCAGGUAUUUUAUUGUUUCUGUAAAUAUAUACAACGCUAAGCUGUCAUAUAAUUUAUGGGAACACAUACAGGAAAAUGAUAGAACAGUUAAAUUCGUGCAAAGUAUCUCAAUCGGCCAACGCCAAUUUUUGAAAUGAAGCAAGGUCUCAUUUCGUAAUAGCUGAGCAAUCAUCCUAGCAUUGAUCUACUGUGCCAAUGCAUUGGUCUUAAUGAAACACCACAAGUCACCUGUCCAAUAUGCAGCAACUAGCAGCAUGGUACCAGAAAAAGAUCAGUUCUUACGACAAGGAAGAAUGGGAGACAAUGGUUGAGCAGCUACUUAUGCGGGGCACCUACCGACGCCGCAUCGUAGAUUUCUCCACUCAUGCUCGGUCCUACCUUAUAGAUGUAGACUUGG
rnacentral:lncRNA from 1 species